rnacentral:lncRNA from 1 species
AAUAUUAAAUAAAAUAUUUUUAAAUAUAUAUUUUAUUAGAAUAAUAAUUUUAAAAUCUAAUAUUUUUUUUGUAAAAAUAAGUUAUUUUUUUAAAAAAUAUAUGUUUGUUAAGAAAUAAUAUUUUUUUAUAAAUUAUUUUCAAAUUAAAUAAAAAAUUACAUUUUCAUCAGUCUUAUCUCGUUAAGAUAAAAAAAAAAGUUUAAAAUUUAAUCACAAUCGUUAAAAAUAUCACUAAUAUUAAAUUAUUAUUUAAUAGUAGUAAAAAUUAAAUAAAUACUAUAAAAGUAAAACUAUUAUAUUUCAAUUUUUUUUUUAUAUAUUUUUUAUUAAAUAUUUUUAAAAAAAUAUUUUUUCAAAAACGGUUAAUUUUUUUAAAAAGUUUUUGUUUAUAUCCAAAAAUAAAUCAAACUGAUAAAAAAAUUAAUUUAUAAAAAAUCUAUUACAAACCUAAUAAAAAAAGAAACAAAACUAAAAAAAAAGAAAGAGAGAGUAAUUUUCUAAUAUGUGUGAGAGCAAAUUAAUAAAAUUAAUGUGAAAGGGGUAUGUUGGUCAUUUGUUUUAUUUGUCCAGUCCGAUUGCUUGGCAAACGCAUAUGAGACAAGACUGGAUUACCACUUAUCUAGGGUUUUGUCCGGAGCAAAACAAACGGCUACACGAUAGAUUUAGUCCGACAUUAUAUCUGGAGACUCCUUGUCCAGUUCGAAGACUCCUUAUCCAGUUGAAAACUUCUUAUCCAGGCAAACAAACGAGGCUAAAGUGUUACACAUGCACUACACUAGUUAGGAUUAUAGUAUAAAUACGCUCCUAUACCGCAUUUUUUCUAACCCUUAACAGCCCGUUUGGCAGCAGGAGAUGAUUUGGUUGGAUUUAAAAUGAGGGAGGAUUUGAGGGAUUAAAUUGAAGGAGGAUUUAUAAUAAGGGGGGCCCCACCUUUUAAGAAGGGUGAUUUAUAGUUUGUGUUUGGAUAUGUUUGAAGAAUGGGAUUAGUUUGGAUAAUGAUGUGAUAAGAUGUAAAAAGACAAAUUAUCCCUCCUUCAUUAAUUAGUUGUUCAUAUUAAAUAUAAUUUCGUUUAAUUGUAAAAUAAUAUAUUAAUAUAAUAUUUAAUGAUUAAAAUAAAAAAAAUUUUUUUUAAUUUAAAUAUUAAUAUAUAAUUUAAUUUUUUUUGGUUUAAUUAUCUAAAAUCAAAAUUUUAAAAAUUGACCAACCCAAAAUGUAGAAAAAACUAGUCCAAAGACAAUAAGUCUUUUAGUUUAGAAAAAUAAGUUUAAAAAAAUCGAUUAUUUCCUUUUAACUUUUGAUUAAGGAAUUUUAGUGUUAACUUGGUAUUAAAUGGAUAAUUAAAAAUAUAAUAAAUAAACAUCAAAAGUAUUUGAAGAAAACUCCAAACACCCCAAAUAGUAUACCCCCCAAACCAAAAGGUCCUUGUAGUUUAGAAAAUAUUUCACUUUGAUAAAUAAAUCAAUAAAUAAAACAACAUCACGUUAAAAAUAAUUUAAAUAUUAAUAUAUACUUUCAAAAUAUUUUUUUGAGUUAAUUGAGAAAAUCUAUUAUAAGUUUCAAACUUUAGGUGAGUUAAUUAUAAUUUUUAAUGUUAAGAUUUUUUUGUGGUUAACCCCAUAACCUAAGGAGAGGUCAGUGUAAUGUACCCAAAUCCAAUAAUCCUUCUCCGAGUCCCUGGUUCGUCGUCCCAAUGUCAUCGUUAACCCUAGAGAGAGAGACGUCUUGUUGCGGGUCAAAAACGCCGUUCUUCCUUCCCACAAUCACAAGGGCAACCACCGUCUUUCACCGCCAUGCGGGUCACCGCGUUUGCAGCAGACGGGGGUAACCCCUGUCCGUGAUAAUCCUGUUUGUGGGAGGGAUUUGGAAGCCAUUUGGAGGAAAUCAGGGAGACACAAUUGUAAGUCAACCCGGAAGAUGGACAGAGGAGGAGACCAAAUCAGGAAUGGCAAUCCGGGGCCAUCUCCAUAGCCAAAUAGCCUGUAACAGUCCCGUUUGCAGGCAGGAGAUGAUUUUGGUGGAUUUGAAAUGAGGGGGAUUUGAGAGUGGAUUUGAAAUUGAGGGAGGAUUUAUAAUAGGGGGGGCCCCACCUUUUAAGAAGGGGGGAUUUUAUAGUUUAAGUGUUUGGAUGUGUUUUUGAAGAAGGAGAUUUGAGUUGGAUAUGAUGGAAUAAGAUUAAAAAGACAAAAUUACCCCCACUUCCAUUAAUUAGUUGUUAAUAUUAAAUUAAUUUUGUUUUAAUUAGACAAAAUAUAUAUUAUUAAUUGAGAUGAUUAAAAUAAAAAAAUCACUUUAAAUAUUAAUAUAAUAAUUUAAAAUAUAUAAUUUUAUUUAUUUGUUUAAAUUAUCCAAAAUUAAUAUUUAGUAUAUAUUUUCAAACUUUGAGCCUAAAAUAUUAAGUAAUCAAUUUUGAAAUCUUACUUUAAAUUUUUAAUAUUAAUUAUGUAUGAAUUUUUUAAUAUUAAUUAUAAUCGUUUUUUAAUUUUAACUUUGUCUUAAUGGUAAUUAAAAAUAUAUAAAAAGAAUUUAAAUAUAAAAAGUAUUUGAAGAAAAAGUCUAAACACACCAAAAUAAGCAAACACAUACCCAAAAGGUCCUUGUAAUUUAGAAAAUGUUUCACUUUGAUUCUCAUAGUUUAAUUUAAAUAUUACGAUCGUGUUUAUUUCAAUUUGAUUCAUCCAAUUUUAAUUUUCAUUAAUUAAUUUUAAUUUCAUUUAACACGUUGAUUACUACACCAAAAAAGUAAAAUUGGCUCUAUGCUGACAUAGACACCCAAAUUCACCCCAAUUCAUAAAUUUUAUUCACCAAAUUGGAUCCCAAUUUAUGUGAAACCCGAAUAUAUACAUAAAUAAAAAUUAACAUUAGUAAAAAUUAAUUUAAAUAUUUUAUUUUUUUGGUUAAAUUGAAGGUAGCUAUUUUCAAGUUUCAAACUUCAUGGGAGAUAAUUAUAUUUUUUUAAAACAUUAAGGUUUCCUUGUGUAUUAAAUUUAUAACCUCAGGGAGGUUAGUGUAAUUUACCCAAAUAAAAUCGAUCCUCUGGUUCUUCUUCCCCAAUUUUUUUGGUUAGCCUGGGGAGAGAGAGACCCAACCCGAGGGUCUUUCACCACCAACAAUCGAAUCCUUCCCUGGUUCUUCUUCCCAGCACGAGGGCACAACGUCUUUCCACCACCACCGGCGCGCCCGUGACCACGGACGGGGUACCCCUGUCCGUCGUAUGUUCCGGCUAUGGAUGGAUUUGAAGCCGUGGAAGAAAGAAAUCAGGGAGAGAAAGGUUGAACCAACAUGGAGAGACAAGACAUGGAGAACAAAUCUGGAGACUUCCAAAUCAGGGAACAAAUCCGGUGCCAAACAGGGUGUAAAACGUCUCUCUCUUCUCCACAACCACCGCCCACUCUCCCUCACUCGCGCGCGAAGUCCCCAUUCGGGCCGCCCUCGCGAACCUACUCGUCGAAGACGAGCAUCAUGCGGUGAGCAGAGGGAGACGAUCCAUGUUACUGUGCCUGUGACUUCAACCACUGGCUCAUCGUCAUGGAAUUCCCAAAGACCCCGCACUUGUGGGACCAGAUUGAUACAACUCCAACCUGUUGUUCCCUCACGUGAGGCACCUAGUAGCGCUGUGUGAAAAGGAGUCCGAUCAGUCCUAUUCUUUGCAAUUACCUAGCCUGUUGCUAGUUGUUCCUAGUCUUAGCCAUUAUCUAGUUUACUGUUAUUUCCUUGAUUUCCUCUAUUUCAGUUGUUGGCACGUUGUUCUUCUGUUGCUGUAUUGGCUAUAAUGCAGUCACAUGAAACCCAAUAAGGACCUCGAAUUAAUUCAGAUCUCCUCUCUAAUCUCCUCUCUUCUAUUUUUCUCUGUCUGUCUCAUUCUUUCUUCCUUCUUCUCCCAACUUCAACCUACAUUUGGUAUCAGGCCAGGUUGUUUUGCCAUGGAUACCCGUGGGAAGCGACUCUGAAUUCCGCAAUGAAGUGAAUGAGCAAUUAACACGUCAUGAGUCGAACUUCGAUCAAGUGCAUCGACUCUGCGACAGUCCUUGACAGAAUAUACAACCCUGGCUUCCACCAGAAGUUCCACCAUACAGAAGUUAAUUCCCUUGCUCCGGAGGGAUCCUCUCACCAUCCACACGCCAAUCGUCUGCUGCUACCUACAACCGUUCACUCAAGCUUACGGUUUUCCGAAUUCAAUAGAGGGGAAGAUCCAUGGGGUGGAUCUACAAGGCCGAGCAGUACUUUUGAAUACGCAAGGCAUUGAACUAAUCCACGGGUGCAACUCGCCUCUUUUCACUUUGGAGGACCUUGCAUUACGUGGCAUCGUUGUAUAAACACUUUCGGGGCCUCUUACCCUGGGAAAAUUCACUCAAGGCUGUCCUUUGCUUCGCUUUGUCCUACUGAAUUUGAAAGACCCCUCAGAAGCUUUGUCUCAUUUGAAGCAAACUCAACAAUGCUGCUUAUCAAGAGGCCUUUGAAAGGCCUCCCCAUCGGUAGAUAAAUUACCAGAAACUUUUCUAUCGGGAUGUUUUAUUGCAGGCCUAAAGGAUGACAUUCGCUGGAUGUCAGACAAACAACCCCGAACCUUGGCAGACCCAUUGAGGUUGCCCGAUUGGUGGGGAAGAGCGAAACCAGCUCCACGGCGGCCUACCCCUCAUCAAUAGAAUGCAAUCAGGGCCCCCUGCGAGAGUAAACCCCAACCCAUCCACGGGAAUUCUGGGCCAACACCCAGCCAACGCGCAGGAAUGGGAUCCACGUACGCCCUCGCCUUUCCGCCGAAUCACCAAUCAGGAGGCGCGGGAUGCCGAGAGAAAGGCCUAUGCUAAUUACUGUGAUGAAAAAUACUCCCUGGGGCCCCUCGUUGUGAAACGUCCCCCAAUUAUUCAUGAUUGAAAGAUGCACCACACUUGAGGAAGAGAAGGAAGAAAAUGGCGAGGAGACACUCAAGAAGCAAAAACUUAUGAACUAUACCCGAAAUCUCUUUUCAUGCUAUUGCUGGUGCCGAACAUCCCCAAACCUCCGAUUGUGGGAAGUUGAAGAACAAAAGCCCUUUUUUAAAUGGUGCUGAUUGACGGGGGCAGUACCACAAUUUCAUCGAUCAACAACUGCCUUCUCGUUUGGCGCUAUCGAUUUGUCCGGGAUAAGAAGCUACAAGUGGUGUUGCAAAUACGGAAAGGAUUGAAUCACUGGCCAAUGUCAAGACUCACGCUCUUAUCCAAGGUACAACUAUCACUGCUGACUAUUACGUUCUUCCAACGUGGCAGCUUGUUAAGCAUUUUGGGCGUACAUGGCUGGAGACACUCGGCCAUCGGAUGGAUUACAGCGCUCACUAUUUCCUUCCGUGUAAGGGAAAAACUCAUACCCUCCACGGACUUGGACGCACUGCGGAGGGUGCCGCAUCGGGGGGAAGUUCUGAAUGCAAAAUGUGUGGGUUUGGGCAGGGAACGUGGUUCCUUCUUUCAGAUGUUCCCGCCCCAAACCCAGUCAUCCGUUCAACCGUACCCACAGGAGAUCAAGACCUUCUGGAGGAAUUCUCUAAGUCUUUGAAUCCCACAAGCAUUCCUCCCAAACGAUUCCAUGACCCCCGAAUUCUGCUCCAAUCAGAUGCUAACCUUGACGUGCGGCCCUACCAAUAUUCCUACUACCAAAAUCAGAACUUGAGAAUAUGGUCCAAGGAGCUCCUGCUGACAGGACUUAUCGAAGUAACAGCCCUUUUUCUUCUCCGGUUUAUUAGUAAAGGCUGAUGGACUUGGCGAAUUUUGUGGUUGACUAUCGGCUCUCAACAAGAUUCACGGUGAAAGAAUCAGUAAUCCCAUCCCGUAAUUGAUGAAUUACUUGACGACUUCAUGGUGCCAGUUUUAUUCGAAGUUAGACUGCGAUCUGGUACCACCAAAUCCGAGUGGCAUGAAGAAGAUAUUCAGAAGACGUCAUUUCGAACUCAUGAGGGCAUUACGAGUUUGUAGUCAUGCCGUUCGGACCUCACCAAUGCUCAGGCAACCUUUCAUGCCUCAUGAAUGACCUCUUUUUUUUUUUCCCCCGACCAUCCUUCUGAGUUUUAUCCUGGUAUUCUUUUGACGACUAUUGGUUUAUGCAAAAUCUUGGAAGAUCACCUCUCUCAUUUACAGACUGUCUUCACUAUUUUACAAUCUAACCAAGUUGGUUUGCCAAGGAAUCAAAAAGCAUUUUUGGGAGUCCACGGUCAAAUAUUUAGGGCAUAUUAUCGCUGAAGGGGCAGUGUCAGUAGAUUUCCUGACAAUGUGCAAGCAGUGGUGGUUGGCCAACUCCCCCACGGCCAAGAGUGCGAGGCUUCCUUGGUCCUUGCGGCUACUAUAGAAAAUUUAUCCGUCAUUCUUCGGCAGUCAAUAGCAGCCCCACUACCCAAGCUCUUGACCAAGAAAAUUCCGAUGGAGUAGUGAAGGUCAGAGGCGGCAUUCCACCAACUGAAGUCAUGCCCUCCCACACCACCUACCCGCGCCUCCCCAGAACUUCUCUCACCAGUUUGUGAUUGAAUGUGAUGCAAUGGAGUGGGACUCGGAGCUUUUCUCACACAACAAAAUCAGCCCAUUGCUUACUUCAUAAAGCUCUCAAGGAUUUGCAUUGGCGUUGUCUGACAUAUGAGAAAGAGAUGCUCGCAAUCAUCGAGGCCAUCAAAAUGCGACCCUAUUGCUCGGUAGAGGUUCAUAGUGAGAAACAGACCACCAAAUCCCUAAAUACUACUGGACAGCGCAUCACCACUUCCUGCCCGUCCCGUGGAUACCCCAAGCUGUGGGAUACGACUAGCCAUUAAAUAUAAACAGGCCCUGAUAACCAGGCUGCCGAUUCUUAUCUCGAAUGGGGUGAGCUUCCAUUUCAUAUCCACUCCAUUCCACAUGCGGACUGUUGGCCAAAACACUCCAACAAGAAGUCCGCGACGAACCCUUUUAAGCGAGCCUAGCCAGCAAACGGGAUACCAUAAAUUGAUCUGGCGAGAUGGUGUCUGGUUCCAACUGCAAGGUAUUCUUUAGCCCAAUCUACUGUAAUUCCUCUAAUCCCUCACAUACAGCCAUUCGUUCCCCUAUAGGCGGCCAUUUUUUGGGUUUUUCAUAAAACCCUCCAUCGUACAGCCAAAGUUUCAUUUGGCCAAAGAUGCCUGCAAGCGUUGAAGGAUUCCUAAGACUUGUAGUGUGCCAAGCAAUACAAAGUCGACUGUAUGAAGCCUUCUGGCCUAUUGCAACCCUUCCCCAUACCUACUCAAUCGUGGUCGAUGGUCCUGGAUUUCAUCGAGUCUCCCAUGGCCAAGUGGCCACUCCGUCAUCAGGUGGUGUUGACCGUUUUGACGAAAUAGGCCCACUUGCGUGCCAUGAAACAUCCCUUCUCGUGCUGCCUCAGUUUGCACAAGCCUUGUCACCAAUGUGGUGCGAUUACAGGAGUUCCCACCUCUAUAGUAAGCGACCUGCGAUAAGGUCUUUACCAGCAAUUUUUGGCAGUCUUUGUUUCGCCUUCAAGGGACCAAACUUUGCAUGAGUUCCGUUACCACCCUC